CGCAUAAAAGGUGGAAUAAGGCGACGCCGCCCCGGCGUCCGACGCGAGUCCGGCGAGAAGGCGCUGACAUUUUUUUUUUUGCCUGAGCGGCUCAAUCUCCGCGUCGGAGGAGCGAGCCGAGGCUGAGCACCAAAUUAACGGACCCUCUGAAGCCGCGGGCCGCGUGCAUUCCAGCGGCGUCCGUCAGUAGCAGGAUGAUGUGAAAGGACCAGUUUCUGCAACAUUUCUGCCAGAUAAUCAGAACCCGUGUGCGCUUAAAAAGCGCGGUGUUCGUUCGGUUCCGCUGCUUUUUGGACCCACAGACCAGUCCACAGUCCAAGCACAGAGUGUGAAAGGAAUCCAGUUUGAACCAGUUCACCAUUACCACAAACACACUGACCUGGUAACAAGCUAUUAACGUGCUUUGCUCGAUUCCCAAGUAAUUGUAAGUAUUAGGCAAAAAAAGAACAGAUGCAAUUGUUAAAAUGGCCGCAUUCCAUUUAGUUUGGCCAGUUGCAUGGUACAUGCAUUGAGUCAGAACCAAGGCGUCCUUUAUAUUAUUACUUCCACUUGUUUUAUAUGUGAGUAUAAAAUUGAAUGUUCAUACCUUUGGGGGUUUUAAUGUGCCUAUAGAAGCCAUUUUAAACCGUCUGCGCUGUUAUCUCUCACUUUCAGAAAUGAAAUAUUCUAAUUGUUCUCUGUGGAUUUACAGCUCUAAUGUAAAUGUCUACCAAGCAAAGUUGAAAUUGCUGACUUGGCCACACGGUGCCUUCUGCGGUCCGUUACGGUCGCGGGGCUCCAUCGUUUGCAGACAUAUGUGGCUCAGCUGCCUCUAAUAGUUCAGUUAGUCAACAAGUUAAUCUUUGCAAAGCAAAUGGGUUGGUGGGACGUGGUGGGGGGCUGUGGGGCAGCACCUCCCCCUGCUGACAGAACGCUAACCAGGUCAGUGCUUUAAUUUGAAUCUCAGCGCUGCACUCUGGAGAACCACAAGGGAUUCAAUUACUCUCCCAUCGCCCCAUUCAUCUGCAGCGCCACAGUACAAAUGUUUGUGCAUGCGACAGUGCGCACGGAAGCAUAGCAGUCGCUGUUUUUCCAGAUUUAACUUGAAGUGGGGAAAAUGAGUGCAUUGAAUAUUCCCAUUGUUCCUCGGUUCUGUGGGAACACUUUGCUUUGAGCGCAGCGGUCCACAUGAAAGCAGUAUGUUGGUCUGACAAAGGACUCAUGACGAGGGAGAGAAGAGCUGAUUUAAAGACCAUAAGGCAUUUUAGUGGAUUCACAGCCACAUUACAAACUGUAGUUAUGAACUUUUCCAAGGAUUUUUUUUAGCAUUUUGUUUCUCUUGGAGGAGCAGCAGACAUUUCCAUUAUUACUGUGACCAUGAUGUUACCAAAACUAAAACUGAAUUCUUUGAAUCCAGGUCCUGAGGAUUCCGUGGUCCUGAUAACAACCUCUCCUUUCUGUUCCGUUCUUCUCCGUUCUAAACUGAAGCUGCUCUUGGUCAUUAGAUACUUUCUGUCUCUGGAAUGUUUUGCAACCCUUCAAGUGCUCUUUCAUGGAGGCCAGAGUGGUUCUGAGAGGGCUUCAUGGCUGUGGUAGAGUAAAGAUCGGUUAAAUGAGCCCACCUCCCGCUCAGAUGCUUCUUUUAUUCAACGGGUCAGGCCCUCCCUCCCUUUUUACCCACAUAAAUUGGCCUCUCUCUGCAUCCUGCUUAUCCGUUUCUUCUACACAAGUGUCCAUCAGUCUGUCUGAACUGUGGGAAAGAACAGGCAGCUGGUAUUUCAUCCAUAAUAUCGUUUGUUCCUUCUCACGUAUCUUUCAAAAGCUCUUUGAAGUUUCAUCAGUUGGCAUUUGCUAACAUGCUUCCAUCCUAACAUUAAAGGUCGGCACUGUGAUGUACACUGAACCAUUUACAAAGCAAAGGUGACAUCUGCUGGUUUAAAGGGGCAGAGUCACGAUACAUCAUUCUUUUGAAAUGUGUGCUCGUGUCUGCAUGGGAUUCCCUGGGUUCUCCUGCAUCCUCAAUGCCAAAGACGAGCACUGAUCAGUGACUCGUGAGUCUCGUAUGCUGGCUCUGUGAUAUCCUGGAAACUCUGGAAGCUCCGCUUCUAUCGUGACCACUGUUUUGUUAAAGUGUCACGCUGAUGGCAGAGUCAUUUUUCCUACAACUUUCGAUUUUCACCUAAUUACAUUAUAUGAUACAACAUUUCACACCUAGUGUAUUAUACACAAGUUGAAAUACACAGUUUUUACAGUGAAGACUUGAAAGUAAAUGGUUGAGCCAUCAUCUACAGUAUGUGCAGUUCAAUGACA